AAACUAUUUUGGCAGAUUAAGUGUAAUAGAUUUAGAAUCUAUAAAUAUGAUUUAUAAUCAUAAGUAG
rnacentral:tRNA from 1 species